rnacentral:lncRNA from 1 species
CUAACUUGCUUUUGAUUGCUUCAGUUAGACCCUUGUUCAGGAAUUUAUCAAGUAAUAGGAAAUGAUAUCCUGAAUCCAGAUGCUAGUGAUCAAUUCCUGCCCCACUCUGGUUAGCAAAGCACUUCUGUCAUUUUUUUAAUGAUCUCUGUCACCUUCCACAGCGAUUUCCCAUGCCGGGAAGGCUAGCACAGCCUCACGCUGAGUCACCUGAAAGCACCUUCUUUAUGCCAUUCCUUUUUCAUAUUGGAGCUUGUAACUCUUGUUGAGCGGCUAGUAAUCAGACUGCAGAGAAGCAGAUGUGGGUCGUUAGGCUGCACCCACAGUAUGAGGGGCUACGGCCCUCCCAGGCCCAGGGCAGCCAUCGCCCACCAGAAGCACCUGUGGCUGCUCAGCUGGCUCUGCGCUCUCCAUCCACCAUGGUGGCACCUCAGACAGACCAGCUGUGGUGAAGCAGAGAGCCAGGGCAGGCCUCAGCCAGCAGGGCCUUCCGCUCAGCCAUGCUGCGCCUCCAGCAAAGAAGGCAGCGAGCGGCAGCUCUGCUGCUGCCCCAGCGUGACCACAAACCCUGCGCACACCUCCUCCUCGUCCUGCCCUCCUGCUGGCAGCGGCCCAGCAGGAGAGGGCACACCCAGUGAGAAGCAGAAAGUUCAUCCUGGCUCCAGCCAAGCUCACGGUCUUCAUGGGGUUACUGUCAACACUAGCUGGUGGAGCUCGUUUGAGCAGGGAAAAACGACGAGCAAAACUUAGAGAAGGGGCAGAGCCAAAUCUGUCAGCUCUGUCCAGAGCAGAGCUCUGGUAAAACUGCUGUUUCUUUAGCUCCUUCAUCCCCUUAUUCCUAGCAGAAAGGCACAAAGAAAACAGACUGUGAAGGCAAACCUGAUCUAGUAUCAUUCUGGCACUGCAUUUCAGCUGUCAGGUGCUAGUGGAAGGACAGAAAUCAUUGAAAUUAAUGUGUAUGUGACUGUGAAUUCUUUCUUUGUGUACAUGGGAGGAACACCCCGUAUCUCCACCCGAUCCUGAAGCUAACCUCCUUCUGCUCUGAGAUUUCCAUGUAAGUUUAUAUGGCUGCUCUUCCUAAUUGCUGAAAGGCUUUUAUUUAGCACCCUCGCUGUGUCAAAUUCUUUCUGUCUCCUCCCUUCCAAGUGCACUAUAUGCUUUCAAGGCUGCAGAGCACUCCCUGCCCCAAGAAACACCACAGCUUGCCCUUCAGGUGAUCCCUUUGGGUUAUUCCACCCCAGCCCCUGGCAGAGACUAAUAUUUCAGAAUGUUGCUAAACCAACACCAUUUUUCUGCAGGCUCCCCUCAUCAAUCCAGCAGGCUUGGAGGAACAGUUGCUCCAUCUCUGGAUCAAGAUAACUUCUGACAUCAUGUAAUGUUUUAU